rnacentral:rRNA from 1 species
GACGAACGCUGGCGGCGUGCUUAACACAUGCAAGUCGAACGGGAUUUAGUAGCCAGACUCUUCGGUGGAAGAUUACUAAUUAGAUUGGCGAUCUGGUGCGUAACGCUUUAACAACCUUCCUCUGACAGUGGGAUAGCCACGGGAGCCCGGGAUUAAUACCGCAUAAUAUCUUAUAAACACAUGUUUCUACGGUCAAAGUUUUAUCGGUCGUAGAUGGGCUCGCGUCUGAUUAGCUAGUUGGUGAGAUAACAGCACACCAAGGCGACGAUCAGUAGCCGGUCGGAGAGGAUGAACGGCGACAUUGGAACUGAGACACGGAGCAAAAACCUACGGGAGGAAGCAGUGGGGAAUAUGGAACAAUGGGGCAAAGUCUGAGGAAGCGACGCCGCGUGAACGAAGAAGGUAUUCGUAUCGUAAAGUUCUGGCCUAGGGGAAGAGAAUGAAAGUACCAUAGAAGAAAGCUCCGGCUAAAUACGUG